AUUGAACGCUGGCGGCAUGCCUUACACAUGCAAGUCGAACGGUAACAGGUCUUCGGAUGCUGACGAGUGGCGAACGGGUGAGUAAUACAUCGGAACGUGCCUAGUAGUGGGGGAUAACUACUCGAAAGAGUGGCUAAUACCGCAUGAGAUCUACGGAUGAAAGCAGGGGAUCGCAAGACCUUGUGCUACUAGAGCGGCCGAUGGCAGAUUAGGUAGUUGGUGGGAUAAAAGCUUACCAAGCCGACGAUCUGUAGCUGGUCUGAGAGGACGAUCAGCCACACUGGGACUGAGACACGGCCCAGACUCCUACGCGAGGCAGCAGUGGGGAAUUUUGGACAAUGGGCGAAAGCCUGAUCCAGCAAUGCCGCGUGCAGGAUGAAGGCCUUCGGGUUGUAAACUGCUUUUGUACGGAACGAAAAGCCCCGGGUUAAUACCCUGGGGUCAUGACGGUACCGUAAGAAUAAGCACCGGCUAACUACGUGCCAGCCGCCGCGGUAAGAC
rnacentral:rRNA from 1 species